rnacentral:rRNA from 1 species
AUUGAACGCUGGCGGCGUGCUUAACACAUGCAAGUCGAUCGGUAACGCGGGGGCAACCCUGGCGACGAGAGGCGGACGGGUGAGGAACGCUUGGGAAUCUGCCUAUCAGCGGGGGACAACACGGGGAAACUCGUGCUAAUACCGCAUACGCUCUACGGAGGAAGGCCGGGGACCGCAAGGCCUGGCACUGAUAGAUGAGCCCAAGCCGGAUUAGCUAGUUGGCGGGGUAACGGCCCACCAAGGCGACGAUCCGUAGCUGGUCUGAGAGGACGAUCAGCCACACUGGGACUGAGACACGGCCCAGACUCCUACGGGAGGCAGCAGUGGGGAAUAUUGGACAAUGGGGGAAACCCUGAUCCAGCGACGCCGCGUGGGUGAAGAAGGCCUGCGGGUUGUAAAGCCCUUUCGGUAGGGACGAAAGCUCUCGACCUAACACGUCGGGAGGUUGACUUAACCUACAAAAGAAGCACCGGCUAACUCUGUGCCAGCAGCCGCAGUAACAC